GAUAGCUGAGUUGGUUAGAGCAUGGUGCUGAUAACACCAAGGUUGCAGGUUCGAUCCUUGUAUGGGACA
rnacentral:tRNA from 1 species